rnacentral:rRNA from 1 species
CCUACGGGUGGCAGCAGUGAGGAAUAUUGGUCAAUGGCCGAGAGGCUGAACCAGCCAAGUCGCGUGAGGGAAUAAUGUCCUAUGGAUUGUAAACCUCUUUUGUCAGGGAGCAAAGUCACCCACGUGUGGGUGUUGGAGAGUACCUGAAGAAAAAGCAUCGGCUAACUCCGUGCCAGCAGCCGCGGUAAUACGGAGGAUGCGAGCGUUAUCCGGAGUUAUUGGGUUUAAAGGUUGCGUAGGCGGGUUAUCAAGUCAGCGGUACAAUCGUGGAGCUCAACACCAUCCAGCCGUUGAAACUUGUGAUCGUGAGUGGGCGAGAAGUAUGCGGAAGGCGUGGUGUAGCGGUGAAAGGCAUAGAUAUCACGCAGAACUCCGAUUGCGAAGGCAGCAUACCGGCGCCCGACUGACGCUGAGGCACGAAAGCGUGGGUAUCGAACAGGAUUAGAUACCCCUGUAGUC